CUUCGUGGUGUGACUGCGUACCUUUUGUAUAAUGGGUCAGCGACUUAUAUUCAGUAGCGAGGUUAACCGUAUAGGGGAGCCGUAGAGAAAUCGAGUCUUAAUAGGGCGUUUAGUUGCUGGGUAUAGACCCGAAACCAGGCGAUCUAUCCAUGAGCAGGUUGAAGGUUGGGUAACACUAACUGGAGGACCGAACCCACUGUCGUUGAAAAGCCAGGGGAUGACUUGUGGAUAGGGGUGAAAGGCUAAUCAAGCCUGGUGAUAGCUGGUUCUCCCCGAAAGCUAUUUAGGUAGCGCCUCGGACGAAUACCAUAGGGGGUAGAGCACUGUUUCGGCUAGGGGGUCAUCCCGACUUACCAAACCGAUGCAAACUCCGAAUACCUAUGAGUACUAUCCGGGAGACAGACUGCGGGUGCUAACGUCCGUAGUCAAGAGGAAAACAAUCCAGACCGCCAGCUAAGGCCCCAAAAUCAUAGUUAAGUGGGAAACGAUGUGGGAAGGCAUAGACAGCUAGGAGGUUGGCUUAGAAGCAGCCACCCUUUAAAGAAAGCGUAAUAGCUCACUAGUCGAGUCGGCCUGCGCGGAAGAUGUAACGGGGCUAAAACUAUGUGCCGAAGCUGCGGAUUUGACAUUAGUCAAGUGGUAGGGGAGCGUUCUGUAAGCCGAUGAAGG
rnacentral:rRNA from 1 species